GGCCUAAACCGGAGUAAUCCGGCAUGGCAUUAAGACCAACGAAGAUAAAGAACCCAUCAUAUAGGGUCGUCUUCGUUGGCCGUGUCGGGAAACUGGCACGGGGGCUUCGGCCCC
rnacentral:sRNA from 12 species